UUAGAACUUGAGUCCUGCCUUACCACUUAUACCAAUAAAUGCUCUACAGAGACUGGAGGUUCACACACGCGAACAUUUCAACAAAAUAUAAGAGAACAUUUGUGGGGGUUCAGGGGGAAGAGAGAAGUGGAUAGAUUUUCCUAAGCAAGAGAAGAAAAAAUAAAAAACCUAAAACUUCACUUUUCAACGAACACCCUAAACCAAGCCAAGAACAAAUCUGUAGAAAACGGGCCAAAGCUGUGAAUCCCAAGGCGUCAAGUGUUCAGCUUCAGGUCCCAGAGAGACCUACUGGCCAAUGAACACACGCGGUUUCCUUUCCAAGUCCUUUACCCUGCAGAGAUAAACGCACUCGGCCAGAAGGACACCUGUCACACACACACACACACACACACACACACACACCACUUUUAUAGGGACCCCCAAAAGUUUAAAAGUUGCAAAGGAAAGGGAUAUCUGUACUCCGACUUAAUAAGCAAGGGUCAGAAAAGCAAAUUCCCACCUCCCCGGUUGCGGUUCCUUUGCUGGCCCUUGCCAGAACCGCAGGAAGUAGAGACCGUGCAUGAUUCAGACUCCACCUAGCCCUGAGCUCCUAGAUAGCCUUGCGCUGUUCCCAAAGAGCAUGCGCAUGGGAGCGGCACGUGCGGGCGCAGCAACACCGCGCAGGCGCAACUGCGGGGCUCCGCGAAGGUCUGGGUUGGACCCGGGCUGGGGGCGCUCUCCGCCCACGGCAACAACGGUCGGCGCGCGGGUGAGGCCGGCGCCCAGGUAGUAGUGACAGCCGCCCAGAAGCCUCUGGAGGGUUCAGUCGUCUGCCCAGGUGAAUUUCCCACCAGGCCUCAGCCGUGCGUCGGGCCGUGGCAACGAAUUAGGUCUGAGGAACUCAGAGAAGCCACCCCUUAUGACAAAACGGGGUUCUCGUCCCAGGCCCCCGCAGCACUUCAAACCCAGCACAACCUUUGCUGGGAAUGCAGGGGACCCUGGAAGCACCUGCAGUGCAGAAACUGGCUAGAGGGCCGUGAAGAUGGCUAGCACGUUAGUUACCCCAGCAUGGGGCGCUGAGGAAGCUGCUGAAGGCCUACAGGUAGCAAACAGAUCAGCCAGUCCAUCCAUCCCAAGUAUUCAAAGAUUGGCUGAAAUACAUGGCUCAAGUCCUGGACCUGACAUCUUGGAAAACAUGCUGGGCAUGUUCUGUAGGUGCAAAGGAAAGUGAAGAUGAUGGAGAUGAGGAAGACACUGAAGACAGUUUAAAGCCACAGUGGCAGAAUGAAAGAAUAAGAGGAAGGUGCUGGGUUUCAACUGAGAAGAAAACAGACUGAGUUCAGGAGAGAAACCAGCACUGCACCAGGACCCUCUCAGGUGGUGCACCAUCUUGAAGAGCCAGGAGCUGGAGUGGCUCAGGUUUGGCAACCUCGUGUGG